rnacentral:rRNA from 1 species
ACAGCUGAAUGAUAGUUCGGGCGUGAAGACUCUACUUGACUAGCUGAGAGGAGGUGCAUGGCCGUCGUCAGUUCGUACUGUGAAGCAUCCUGUUAAGUCAGGCAACGAGCGAGACCCACGCCAACAGUUGCCAGCUCGUCCUCCGGGAUGGUGGGGACACUGUUGGGACCGCCUCUGCUAAAGAGGAGGAAGGAAUGGGCAACGGUAGGUCAGCAUGCCCCGAAUUAUCUGGGCUACACGCGGGCUACAAUGGGUGGGACAAUGGGUAUCGACACCGAAAGGUGAAGGCAAUCUCCUAAACCCAUCCGUAGUUCGGAUUGUGGGCUGCAACUCGCCCACAUGAAGCUGGAAUCUGUAGUAAUCGUGUCUCAAAAUGGCACGGUGAAUAUGUCCCUGCUCCUU